rnacentral:rRNA from 1 species
GAUGAACGCUGUCGGCGUGCCUAAUACAUGCAAGUCGAUCGAAGCGGGGACGGGUGAGUAACACGUUGAUAACCUCCUAUAAGACUGGGAUAACUUCGGGAAACCGGCGCUCAACCUGAUACUUAUAUAUGGAUCCUCGGUGCAUUAGCUAGUUGUUAAGGUAACGGCUUACCAAGGCAACGAUGCAUAGCCGAACUGAGAGGGGGAUCGGCCACACUGGAACUGAGCAACGGUCCAGACUCCGACGGGAGGCAGCAGUAGGGAAUCUUCCGCAAUGGGCGAAAGCCUGACGGAGCAACGCCGCGUGAGUGAUGAAGGUCUUCGGAUCGUAAAACUCUGUGAUUAGGGAAGCGGUACCUAAACAGAAAGCCACGGCUAACUACGUGCCAGCCGCCGCGGUAAUUC